rnacentral:lncRNA from 1 species
UUUAGCGUGAGAACGUUUUUGUGAAUCCGGCCCCAGUAUUAUACAGUAGUUAGAAUGAGCCUAAAAGAAACAGAUAUUGAAAUUAAAGGCGUGUAAAAUUGUUAUAC